AAUAAGUGUUGUUUUGCACUAUUUACGUUUAACGUUUGACCGUUCGUCUUAUUUGAAAACUUUUUAUGAUUAAUAUUUUUAUUACUAUUAGAUCAUAAAACAUGAAUAGUACUUUAUGUGCGACUAAAUAUUUUAAAUUUUUUUAUAAAUUUUUUAAAUAAGACGGACGGUCAAACAUUGAACACGGAUAUUUAUGACUGUACUUAUU
rfam:Oryza nivara chromosome 6, whole genome shotgun sequence.